AAAUAGAUACCCCGGUAGUCCACGCCGUAAACGAUGAGUGCUAAGUGUUAGAGGGUUUCCGCCCUUUAGUGCUGCAGCAAACGCAUUAAGCAGUCCGCCUGGGGAGUACGGUCGCAAGACUGAAACUCAAAGGAAUUGACGGGGGCCCGCACAAGCGGUGGAGCAUGUGGUUUAAUUCGAAGCAACGCGAAGAACCUUACCAGGUCUUGACAUCCUUAUGCCAUCUCUAGAGAUAGAGCUUUCCCUUCGGGGACAUAAGUGACAGGUGGUGCAUGGUUGUCGUCAGCUCGUGUCGUGAGAUGUUGGGUUAAGUCCCGCAACGAGCGCAACCCUUGAUCUUAGUUGCCAGCAUUCAGUUGGGCACUCUAAGGUGACUGCCGGUGACAAACCGGAGGAAGGUGGGGAUGACGUCAAAUCAUCAUGCCCCUUAUGACCUGGGCUACACACGUGCUACAAUGGAUGGUACAAAGGGCAGCGAAACCGCGAGGUUAAGCAAAUCCCAAUAAAACCAUUCUCAGUUCGGAUUGC
rnacentral:rRNA from 1 species